GAAUAACAGUGGGAAACGACUGCUAAUACCGGAUGAUGACGUAAGUUCAAAUAUUUAUCGGCGAGGGACGACCCCGCGUAUGAUUAGGUAGUUGGUGUGGUAAAGGCGCACCAAGCCGACGAUCCUUAGCUGGUCUGAGAGGAUGAUCAGCCACACUGGGACUGAGACACGGCCCAGACUCCUACGGGAGGCAGCAGUGGGGAAUAUUGGACAAUGGGCGAAAGCCUGAUUCACCAAUGCCGCGUGAGGGAUGAAGGCCUUAGGGUUGUAAAGCUCUUUUACCCGGGAUGAUAAUGACAGUACCGGGAGAAUAAGCUCCGGCUAACUCCGUGCCAGCAUCCGCGGCAAUACGGAGGGAGCUAGCGUUAUUCGGAAUUACUGGG
rnacentral:rRNA from 1 species